ACAUGGUAAUCUCUUCCUACGUAUUGGUAUGAUUCUAAAGAAACAUGUCAUAGGCAUUUAUCGGUAGAUUUCUUCAUUCUCGAGCAACCUCAACAACUUGUCCUCCAAUGUUUUGUCCGUGGUAAAGUCCCACAAGAGGAGCAAGAGCGUUCUCAAGUCCAUAGCAACAAACCCGUGAAUCCUUAUCCUCUUGAACAAUAUUGUGUUUGUUUUAGUUCUUAAUAAUAUAGACAUGAUACUAACCAAGCAGUCCAGUCUAGUAGGAAAGAGGAGCAUAUAGACAUACUAACGUCAAGUUUGGAUGUAAUGGGUGUUUUAAUUGUCGUAUACUCGUCCCAUUUAACCACUGCUCAAACA
rnacentral:lncRNA from 1 species